UUGACGUUGGUUGAGUUUCAUCCUCACGUGGUGGUUCGGCAUGAAGUGAACUCUAAACUUACCUUAGAAGAUACCCUCCGCGCCUCUCAUACUAAGGUAAAAUAUAACGAGGUUUACCGUGCCCCUCUAAUAGGCUGAUCCACGAAAACCCGCCCACUGCAGUAAGCUAAAUACAUAACCCACCAAAUCAAUAAAAUUUCGGCAGCAUAACAUGGCUAAUAUAGUACUAUCCAACCUGUCAAUGUAAGACAAAACAAUUUAUAUAAUUCACAAAACCAUAAUUUCAGCCAUUCAUGCUACCACAAUUUCAUAAGCCAUCAAUUCAAAUCAUGUAUAUAUAUAUAAUACGAAUGUAUAGCCUCCACUUACUCUAUUUCGAAAAUCAACAUUUAGUUUCAGAAUAAUUUAUAAAUCUCAUUCAUUUAACCAACAUUUAAAAUGUAAAACAUAAUAAUUUGCAAAUUAAGUGACUUAUUCUUUAAAAUCUUAAAACAAGUAUAAACCACUUUAGAUAAUUAAGAUGAACAUCUGAUUACUCACAAUAGCAGGAGUUUGGAGUACUCCUAUUUUUGGUUCUCGGGCACAAUAUCUUUACCCUUAUUAGAGGGCUCACCACCUAUACAUAAUACAUGACACGUAAUUCAAUAUAUCUGUGCCAAACUGUUAUAAAACUAUUUCAAGCUCUAUAUGAAUGCAUGACAUUGAAUGAGAAUUGUUCGAAUAAUCACUUAAAGAUAGUGUUCUACGUGGGUUUAAUUAUGAUCGGACUGAAUUGGCAUUCGACCUAACUCACACUAUGCCUUGUUUAAUUAGCAAAAACAUCUAAUUCAACUCCAAAUAUCUUCAUUACACUUCAAAUAUUCCAAAUACACCAAAGUACCACAAUGAGCUUAAUUGUGACUUAAUUCACCAUAACCAAAAUUCAUUUCGAUUUUGAUAUCUGAUACCAUAAAUCAUCAAUUACGAGCUAAUUAACAUGAAAUACAACAAAAUCCAUCAUCGACAUGUCACCUAAUAAAUUUUUCCAAAGAGGGUUAUUGAAGAACAUGUGAUUUUCUUGCUUGUUUUUCCUUCCAAACAUCACAAAAUGACAAAAAACACUAGGAUAUUAUGAAAUCUAGCAAAAUUCAUCACCAAAACUUCUCUCUCUAGAUUUGGCCCGCAAAGGUUCCCUCCUGAAAACUUGAAUUUCAGCCAUGGAGAAUGAAAAAGAAUGCAUGGGAAAGGUAGAUCACAAGCUAAAAUUAAAAAAUCUUACCUUUACUUGCUUGAUUCCUUGAAAUCCAACAAAUUUUCUUGAAUUUUUCCUUCCUAGGGUUUGUUCUUCUCUUUUUCUCUUUGUUCCCUUGCUUGGUCGGCC
rnacentral:lncRNA from 1 species